AUACGGAGGAUGCAAGCGUUAUCCGGAUUUAUUGGGUUUAAAGGGUGCGUAGGCGGCGCGUUAAGCGUGAGGUGAAAGCUCGGGGCUCAACCCCGGAACUGCCUCGCGAACUGGCGUGCUGGAAUGCUCCUGCCGUGGGAGGAAUGUGUGGUGUAGCGGUGAAAUGCAUAGAGAUCACACAGAACACCGAUUGCGAAGGCAUCUCACGAAGGGGUUAUUGACGCUGAGGCACGAAAGCGUGGGGAUCAAACAGGAUUAGAUACCCUGGUAGUCCACGCAGUAAACGAUGAUAACUAACCGCUGGGGUGUAAAUUUCAGUGGCCAAGCGAAAGCGAUAAGUUAUCCACCUGGGGAGUACGACCGCAAGGUUGAAACUUAAAGGAAUUGACGGGG
rnacentral:rRNA from 1 species